rnacentral:rRNA from 1 species
GAUCCUGGCUCAGGAUGAACGCUAGCUACAGGCUUAACACAUGCAAGUCGAGGGGCAGCGGGGAUUGAAGCUUGCUUCAAUUGCCGGCGACCGGCGCACGGGUGAGUAACGCGUAUCCAACCUUCCGCAUACUCGGGAGAUAGCCUUCUGAAAAGGAGAUUAAUACCCGAUGGUAUCAAGAGAUUGCNUGAUAACUUGAUUAAAUAAUUUCGGUUAUGCGAUGGGGAUGCGUU